UACGUAGGGGGCAAGCGUUGUCCGGAUUUAUUGGGCGUAAAGAGCGUGUAGGCGGCCAUGCAGGUCCGUUGUGAAAACUCGAGGCUCAACCUCGAGACGCCGAUGGAAACCGCAUGGCUAGAGUCCGGAAGAGGAGAGUGGAAUUCCUGGUGUAGCGGUGAAAUGCGCAGGUAUCAGGAGGAACACCGGUGGCGAAGGCGGGUCUCUGGGCCGAUACUGACGCUGAGGAGCGAAAGCGUGGGGAGCGAACAGG
rnacentral:rRNA from 1 species